rnacentral:misc_RNA from 1 species
GUAAAUUGGAAUCUUAUGUUCUCAAAGUUUCCUGUUGAAUAAAGAGUACUAGCAGAGAAUAAAAAAGCCUGGCUGAGUGGCAUGGGGGUGACAUAAACUGAAAUAGGGAUUAAGAGAAUUCAGGUACUGCUGCUUGAGCUUACAGAUCUACAACAUGUCAAUUACAAGUAAAAAUUGUGAACACAUGUAUCAUUUGCUUGGCUUCAGAACACAAACAAUUUGUGAGAGUUUUUGCCUUUGCUAGAUGACACAAGCAAUCUGCUUGCCUCCUAUAUAAAUAAUUGGCAUAAUUCCCCUAGUUCUACCGAAAGGAAAUUUUGCAUCACUUUUACAAACAAUUAUUCUCCUUCCCAACCAAGUUGGCGGGCCCGUUGCUCCCAUAAGGAAGUAACUUUCCUCUCCCUGAUAAGCAAUGCCUCAGCCUGCUCCCUAGCUUCUUCACAUGUUUCAGUGGCAGUAUUACAUUUUUCAGCUUCUCUUUGGUACUGGGAAGCCACCCGCUUCGCUUCAGCAAAAGUUACGUUCAUGUGGUGUGCAUGUUCUUCUGCAACAGCCUCUUGCAAUUUCAACUCCUCUGUUAGAAGGUCAACAAACUGCUUCUCCAUCUCCCUUUUGAGAUCAGGGUCAUCACUUCCACAAUCUGUAAUACCACCAUAUGUUAAUAAUCACACCAAUGAGAUCAGGAUUCCACUAAUCUGAAAGAUUAGCAGUAAACCAGAAAGCACAACAUGGAACAAGGGUCACUGAACAGCACAGUUGGAAGCUUUUGGUGGCCCAGAAUUUUUUGCCAAAUCCUAAAUUUGACCCUCUAGAUGAGUUUGUACUCAGGGGCGUCUGAAGAAAAUGUAAAACACAUGGGAAUAGUAUAAUUCUCUUUUUUUCUUGUUUGCCUAAUUUUGUUGAUUGACAUUGAAUUGGAAUACUAUUGCAAAUUAAACCAUGUCAUGACUGAAGUUAGGACAAAAGAACAACUGAAUCAAACUCUAACAAAAAUUUUAAAAGGACAUUUAACAAAAAAAACUAUUUUAGGCCUUUUCCAGUCAUCAAAAUUGCCUGAUGGGUUCAAGGGGCCCAAGUCUAAUACCCUUAAAAGCAUAACCUUGGAGUCCAAUAGCAGUGAGUUAACAAGCUCAUUGAAGUAAGCUUAGUCAAACUAUUUUUAGGUAAGAAUGAAUUCACAAAUGGAGAAACCCAACAAUUACAAAAGGUACCCAGUUUCCACUACCCAAACUGAGAAAAAACCACUACACACACACUUGGCAGUUGGAUGGUGGAAUUCCAGAUUAUAUAAGUUUCAAAUGCAGGCACAGGAAAUCAUAAAACCCAAUAAAAUAGCUGUGUGCUAGUUUUACUGUACGAGCAACUUGUUUAUGUGUUUGUGUAGGGGAGAGGGAGAGAGAAAAAGAGUGAGGGAGUUGUGAAAGAAAAAUGAGUUCUAACCUGUGACUGAGAGAUUGGCCAACCCUGCAAGCAUAAAACAAAAUCACCAAGAAAGCAAAUAUUAGUACGUAAGAUUUUGAUUUUCUCAAACUUAAACUAUUGAGCAAGCAUAAGCUAAUAAAUAUUAAUAGGUUGAUUUAAAAAAAAAAAAAAACCUGAUUUGCAAGCAACUUUCAAUUGAAUUGUAGAUGCAUGCAACUUAAACACAAAGCUAUGCAUGGUAAAGUGUACAAAAAAGAAGAAUCAUAAAGCCAACUACUUAAACAAGACAGGAAAGCAAUUUAUUCUCUCUGCAAAGAGAUGGCUUUUUAUCCUAUGCCAAAUUCAAUAAUAGAGUGAUCAAACUAUUCAUCAUCAACUUCAGAGAUAAACAAAAGAUCAGACUAGGUCUCCACAUUCUCAUCCACAUCUGCAUCUCCUAUCAUCACAGGCAAAGUAUAACAGACUAAAAUAAGUCACAAAAAGCACAAGAUAAGAUCAUAAGAAAAAGUUAUUAUAGGGCAAUCCCACAUAUCAAUAGAUUUCCUAUUAAGGUCUCUGGCCUGGAGACGAUUUCCUACUCAUGCCUACAUUUUCUGUCUCCCAUCUGCUCUUCAGCUAAAAGUAAUAUCCUAAUGGACAAGUUUCUCAUAAAGGGGCCAAUAAAAAAAAAGGGCACAUAAAACAUCUUGAGUUUUAGUCAACUAUCAAACAAAAUUAAGAACAAGCACACUAAUUACAGUACCAUUGGUUACAGGUGACAACAUACAUUCUUUCCUUUUCCCCCCUCCCCUCCUCCCCCGAAGUGAAUUUUAGCUGACAAUGAACUAAAUUAAGAACAAGGACAUGUUGAACCAAUAAUAGGAUGCAACAAAUAUUCCAAAGAAAUCUAAAUCACACAAUUUAGCAUCAAGAACUAUAAAAGAAAGAACAAAAGUAAAUGCGAAAAUUCCUGAUGAAUCUAUAUAAGAAGAGGCAAUAAUCAAUUCCAUGACCAUUGGCUUUUUGACAGCAAACAGGUUAUUGAAAUAUUUCUAAUGAACAGGCUUGACUCUUCAAACAUCUUAGUAGCAAUCAGCCAUGGUAUGGACUGAACCCAGAACAUGGUUAUUCACAUUUUGCUCACAAACAAAAUAUAAGUACCAUAAAAGACGAACAAUAGAUCUUUCCAUGACGUGGAAACUAAGUGCAUAGUUAAUAGGAUUCAUGAAGUUAUAUUCAUAAAAGGGCUUCAAGUACUGAAACCAAUGCUUAAUGAUGCAUGUAAAAGACAGAUAAUCAUGGUAAAAUUUCAACAUAGCAAGUAAUAAAGACUCUCAUUUAUUCUCAGAUCAUAUAAAAGAAUGUAUAAGGCCAGAUC